GCCCGCAUCGCAUAAUGGUAUUGCACCAGCUUGGAGAGCUGGGCCCUUCGGGGCCUCCAGGUUCGAUUCCUGGUGCGGGCG
rnacentral:tRNA from 1 species